rnacentral:rRNA from 1 species
GAGUUUGAUCAUGGCUCAGAUUGAACGCUGGCGGCAGGCCUAACACAUGCAAGUCGAACGGUAACAGGAAGAAGCUUGCUUCUUUGCUGACGAGUGGCGGACGGGUGAGUAAUGUCUGGGAAACUGCCUGAUGGAGGGGGAUAACUACUGGAAACGGUAGCUAAUACCGCAUAACGUCGCAAGACCAAAGAGGGGGACCUUCGGGCCUCUUGCCAUCGGAUGUGCCCAGAUGGGAUUAGCUAGUAGGUGGGGUAACGGCUCACCUAGGCGACGAUCCCUAGCUGGUCUGAGAGGAUGACCAGCCACACUGGAACUGAGACACGGUCCAGACUCCUACGGGAGGCAGCAGUGGGGAAUAUUGCACAAUGGGCGCAAGCCUGAUGCAGCCAUGCCGCGUGUAUGAAGAAGGCCUUCGGGUUGUAAAGUACUUUCAGCGGGGAGGAAGGGAGUAAAGUUAAUACCUUUGCUCAUUGACGUUACCCGCAGAAGAAGCACCGGCUAACUCCGUGCCAGCAGCCGCGGUAAUACGGAGGGUGCAAGCGUUAAUCGGAAUUACUGGGCGUAAAGCGCACGCAGGCGGUUUGUUAAGUCAGAUGUGAAAUCCCCGGGCUCAACCUGGGAACUGCAUCUGAUACUGGCAAGCUUGAGUCUCGUAGAGGGGGGUAGAAUUCCAGGUGUAGCGGUGAAAUGCGUAGAGAUCUGGAGGAAUACCGGUGGCGAAGGCGGCCCCCUGGACGAAGACUGACGCUCAGGUGCGAAAGCGUGGGGAGCAAACAGGAUUAGAUACCCUGGUAGUCCACGCCGUAAACGAUGUCGACUUGGAGGUUGUGCCCUUGAGGCGUGGCUUCCGGAGCUAACGCGUUAAGUCGACCGCCUGGGGAGUACGGCCGCAAGGUUAAAACUCAAAUGAAUUGACGGGGGCCCGCACAAGCGGUGGAGCAUGUGGUUUAAUUCGAUGCAACGCGAAGAACCUUACCUGGUCUUGACAUCCACGGAAGUUUUCAGAGGUGAGAAUGUGCCUUCGGGAACCGUGAGACAGGUGCUGCAUGGCUGUCGUCAGCUCGUGUUGUGAAAUGUUGGGUUAAGUCCCGCAACGAGCGCAACCCUUAUCCUUUGUUGCCAGCGGUCCGGCCGGGAACUCAAAGGAGACUGCCAGUGAUAAACUGGAGGAAGGUGGGGAUGACGUCAAGUCAUCAUGGCCCCUUACGACCAGGGCUACACACGUGCUACAAUGGCGCAUACAAAGAGAAGCGACCUCGCGAGAGCAAGCGGACCUCAUAAAGUGCGUCGUAGUCCGGAUUGGAGUCUGCAACUCGACUCCAUGAAGUCGGAAUCGCUAGUAAUCGUGGAUCAGAAUGCCACGGUGAAUACGUUCCCGGGCCUUGUACACACCGCCCGUCACACCAUGGGAGUGGGUUGCAAAAGAAGUAGGUAGCUUAACCUUCGGGAGGGCGCUUACCACUUUGUGAUUCAUGACUGGGGUGAAGUCGUAACAAGGUA